UGACCACUGGAGCCUGUGAAGCAGUUGCCCCCUCAGCUUGCGGGACGCUCCCCUCUCCCUCCCCUUGUCUGCUCUAGAACAUGCACCAUGUCUGGUUUCUUCAGGGUGGAGUGGACGGUGUCCUCACGUCGAUGUUGCCGUGACCUUGCUGUUGCUGAGGAUGCGUGUCGUCACCCAUGCACACACUUCCAAGACGCUAAGCCCUUUCUCCACACAGGUGUGGCUCGCUCAUUUACUCACAGUUUCACCAGGAUCUCCCAGUGCCCACUGAAGCAGUUUCCACAGGUAGUGACCAAGCACGGGUUCCCAGGAACUAGCUGGUAA
rnacentral:lncRNA from 1 species